AUUGAACGCUGGCGGCAGGCCUAACACAUGCAAGUCGAGCGGAUGAAGGGAGCUUGCUCCUGGAUUCAGCGGCGGACGGGUGAGUAAUGCCUAGGAAUCUGCCUGGUAGUGGGGGAUAACGUCCGGACACGGGCGCUAAUACCGCAUACGUCCUGAGGGAGAAAGUGGGGGAUCUUCGGACCUCACGCUAUCAGAUGAGCCUAGGUCGGAUUAGCUAGUUGGUGGGGUAAAGGCCUACCAAGGCGACGAUCCGUAACUGGUCUGAGAGGAUGAUCAGUCACACUGGAACUGAGAAACGGUCCAGACUCCUACGGGAGGCAGCAGUGGGGAAUAUUGGACAAUGGGCGAAAGCCUGAUCCAGCCAUGCGGCGUGUGUGAAGAAGGUCUUCGGAUGGUAAAGCACUUUAAGUUGGGAGGAAGGGCAGUAAGUUAAUACCUUGCUGUUUUGACGUAACCAACAGAAUAAGCACCGGCUAACUUCGU
rnacentral:rRNA from 1 species